CUCCGUGACAUCAUCCUCGCAAUCGACUGCAUCCACCUCAAACGGAUUGCUAUACCAAUUUGGAAUAUUCAGCGCAAUAAUAUCUUGAAAUCACUCCACCACGUUAUCGUGCAAUGAUUGUAAAUAGUUGCGAUAUGUGGUUAAAUCCUCAUCAUUCAAUUCAUCUUUCUAAGAAUCAAGUUGUGGAAAUUGAUGGAAUUGAUGUUUUGAAAUGUUAGUCUUAAACAAAACCAAUUUCGAAAUGAAGGUAGUGAUAAAUGAUUUACAAUCAACGAGAGUUUUUCUGUUUCUUUGCAAUAACUUAUUCAAAUAAUUUAAUUUUGUGAAUAUAUCCCAAAGGAAAAAGAUAUCGUACCUUGCAACCGUAGAUGAAGCGGAUUGUGGAGCAUUUUCAAAGAAAAAGAUAUAGAAAACAGUUCAACUAAACGUAUAAGCACGGAUCACCAAUCAGGAAAAAUUUGUUCGCUGAGUAUAUGGACAAAGCCACCAGUUUUCUGUAGGCUCAGAGUUGCGGCUGCUUCUGGCUGACGAGACACAUUUCGAAACACCCAUGUCCCAGAAUGCCAUUGACAAUGUGCUGAAUGUGUUGAGCACAAUAUCAUCAUAACAGUAAGAAGCUAUUCCUCUAUGUCGUACAUAACAGAAACCAGCAUAUCUUGCGUCCGAAUCUACCAAGAUGUGUUGAGAAUAAAUACGCAAAUAUUCAUAUUGUCUUAAUAAAUAUAAAGACGACAUGAACUACACAAUCUCAUACAAAACGUUAAGUAAUAAUUUCAACUUUUUUAUUUAGUUUCGUUCUUAUUAACAACGCUGUUUCUGCAUGAUUUCAUAAGUGCUAUUUUCAAUACAGUGUAAAGUUUAAAUUCAAUAAAAUUGGUGGAAGUCUA
rnacentral:lncRNA from 1 species